rnacentral:rRNA from 1 species
GGGGAAAAAUUCACAAUGGGGCCAAACCCCCUUCCGCCCAGCCGCGGUUAUUAAAAAGGCCGUCGGGUUUUAAAGGAAUUUCAGCGGGGGGGGAGGGGGUUUGGUUAAUAAACCCCGCAAUUGACGUUGCCCGCAGAAGAAGCACCGGGUUAUUCCGUGCCAGCAGCCGCGGUAAUACGGAGGGUGCAAGCGUUAAUCGGAAUUACUGGGCGUAAAGCGCACGCAGGCGGUCUGUCAAGUCGGAUGUGAAAUCCCCGGGCUCAACCUGGGAACUGCAUUCGAAACUGGCAGGCUAGAGUCUUGUAGAGGGGGGUAGAAUUCCAGGUGUAGCGGUGAAAUGCGUAGAGAUCUGGAGGAAUACCGGUGGCGAAGGCGGCCCCCUGGACAAAGACUGACGCUCAGGUGCGAAAGCGUGGGGAGCAAACA